CCCAGCCCCAGGAUCCCCAGGUGACCCUAUUCAGUGCUGAGGACACAACACAGACAAACCACCAUGGAGUCUGUGCUCGGCUGGGUUUUCCUUGUCGCUAUUUUAAAAGGUGUCCAGGGUGAGGUGCAGCUGGUGGAGUCUGGGGGAGACCUGGUGAAGCCUGGGGGGUCCCUGAGACUCUCCUGUGUGGCCUCCGGAUUCACCUUCAGUAGCUACGGCAUGAGCUGGGUCCACCAGGCUCCAGGGAAGGGGCUGCAGUGGGUCGCACACAUUAACAGUGGUGGAAGUAGCACAAGCUACGCAGACGCUGUGAAGGGCCGAUUCACCAUCUCCAGAGACAACGCCAAGAACACGCUGUAUCUGCAGAUGAACAGCCUGAGAGCCGAGGACACGGCCGUGUAUUACUGUGUGAAGGACACAGUACCAGACUAUCUUGAUGAUAAAGGCUUUAUCAUAGAGCUUUCCUGCAGACAUUGUUAUGCCCUCCAGCUGUAG